CUCAGGGCAGGGUGAAAUUCCCGAUCGGCGGUAUACUCCGCGAACUGCAGAGCAGAAUGAUCCGGUGAAACUCCGGAAGCGACAGUAAAGUCUGGAUGGAAGAGU
rnacentral:ncRNA from 1 species